AUAGAUACAUUUAAACCAUACUAACAAGAGUUGAGAUUGUUGUUGAUCCAAUUAGAUCUUGCCACGUGGACCGAGCUUCGGUUUUUGUUGUGGGCCCUUCACAAUCGGUAGGACAUCUCCGGUUGCAGUGGAGCUGAAGUAAGCAAGAGUCGAACCACCUCCCAAUAUCAAGAAUUUAAGCAACAAUCCUCUCUUGGUAAAAGGAGCAGCGAAUGUCUCAAAGAACUUGCUCUACGACCAAAAAGGGUAAAAUAGUCAUUUACUCGUCAAAAAAGUUAGAACUUACACCAUCAGUUCACCCCUUUACCCAUACGAUUUCAAAACAUAGGAAUGGAGAUAACAAGUUCACUGAGGCAUUAUAUCGAAUACCUGGAGGGAAUUGUAAGGUGAGGGGGCAUCAGAGCCAUACACGUCCCAUUGACCAGUGGUGUUGCCCAAAUCUUCCAAAUCAAAGUACACACUUUUGUCGCCGUAUUUAGCUACCACAGCACCAGCUCU
rnacentral:lncRNA from 1 species